GAGGAGGGGGCCCCUGCCUCCAAAAUGCAUCUCUCUGGGGGACAUGACACCAAAGCUAAGAGUCCAAUCAAGCAGGAGAGACCAGCCUCCCCUGUUCCCAGCUGUGUGUCCAUGAAGAGUGACUGGUCUAUGGAACCUCCUAUGAAGUUUAGAGGGGGAGACUUUUCUACUGAACAAAGACAAAUCAAGCAGGAGAGACCAGCCUCCCCUGUACCCAGCUGUGUGUCCAUGAAGAGUGACCGGUCUAUGGGUACACCUAUAGUGUUUAGAGAGGGGAGACUUUUCUACUGAACAAAGAAACCAACAGGAGAGAUCAGAGUCAGAGAUUCUCAGUGGUCAGUCUUCCCAGAGUCA